rnacentral:tRNA from 1 species
GCCGGAGUGGCGGAAUUGGCAGACGCCCGGGACUUAAAAUCCCGUGUGACGAGAGUCACGUACCGGUUCGACCCCGGCCUCCGGCA